GAUGAACGCUGGCGGCGUGCCUAAUACAUGCAAGUCGAGCGAACGGACGAGAAGUUUGCUUCUUUGAUGUUAGCCGCGGACGGGUGUGUAACAUGUGGAUAACCCACCUAUAUGUCUGGUAAAACUUGGGGAAACCGGAGAUAACCCCGUAUAAUAUUUUGAACCGUAGGGUUAAAAAGAAAAUUACGGCUUUGCUGUCACUACUCGCUGCAUCCGGGCUGCAUUAGGUAGUUGGUACGGUAACGGCUUAUCAAGGCAAGGAUGCAUAGCCGACCUGAGAGGGGGGUCGGCGACACGAGAACUGAGACACGGUCAAGGGUCCUGCGGGAGGCAGCAGUAGGGAAUCGUCCGCAAUAGGGGAAAGCCUGACGGAGCGAGCCCGCGUGAGUGGUGGAGAUCUUCGGAUCGUAAAACCCUGUUAUUAGGGGAAAACAGAUGUGUAAGUAGAUGAACACAUAUUGACGGUACCUAAUCAAAAAGCCACGGCUAACUACGUG
rnacentral:rRNA from 1 species